rnacentral:rRNA from 1 species
AGAACGAACGCUGGCGGCAGGCUUAACACAUGCAAGUCGAACGCUCGUAGCAAUACGGGAGUGGCAGACGGGUGAGUAACGCGUGGGAACAUACCCUCCGGUUCGGAAUAGCUCAGGGAAACUUGGAUUAAAUACCGGGUACGGCCGAGAGGCGAAAGAUUUAUCGCCGGAGGAUUGGCCCGCGUUCGAUUAGCUAGUUGGUGAGGUAACGGCUCACCAAGGCGAUGAUCGAUAGCUGGUCUGAGAGGAUGAUCAGCCACAUUGGGACUGAGACACGGCCCAGACUCCUACGGGAGGCAGCAGUGGGGAAUCUUGCGCAAUGCGCGAAAGCGUGACGCAGCAACGCCGCGUGGGGGAAGACGGGCUUUCGGGUUGUAAACCCCCUUUCAGUUGGGACGAAGCCUCAUCGGUGAAUAGCCGCGUGGGGUGACGGUACCUUCACAAGAAGCACCGGCUAACUACGUGCCAGCAGCCGC